UCUGCACAUUUAGGGUGUGGCCAAGCCUCAUU
rnacentral:piRNA from 1 species